UGGGGAAUAUUGCACAAUGGGCGCAAGCCUGAUGCAGCCAUGCCGCGUGUAUGAAGAAGGCCUUCGGGUUGUAAAGUACUUUCAGCGGGGAGGAAGGCGUUAAGGUUAAUAACCUUGGCGAUUGACGUUACCCGCAGAAGAAGCACCGGCUAACUCCGUGCCAGCAGCCGCGGUAAUACGGAGGGUGCAAGCGUUAAUCGGAAUUACUGGGCGUAAAGCGCACGCAGGCGGUCUGUCAAGUCGGAUGUGAAAUCCCCGGGCUCAACCUGGGAACUGCAUCUGAUACUGGCAAGCUUGAGUCUCGUAGAGGGGGGUAGAAUUCCAGGUGUAGCGGUGAAAUGCGUAGAGAUCUGGAGGAAUACCGGUGGCGAAGGCGGCCCCCUGGACGAAGACUGACGCUCAGGUGCGAAAGCGUGGGGAGCAAACAGG
rnacentral:rRNA from 1 species